rnacentral:rRNA from 1 species
AUGCAGUCGAGCGAAUCUGAGGGAGCUUGCUCCCAAAGGUUAGCGGCGGACGGGUGAGUAACACGUGGGCAACCUGCCUGUAAGACUGGGAUAACUUCGGGAAACCGGAGCUAAUACCGGAUAAUUCUUUUCUACUCAUGUAGGAAAGCUGAAAGAUGGUUUCGGCUAUCACUUACAGAUGGGCCCGCGGCGCAUUAGCUAGUUGGUGAGGUAACGGCUCACCAAGGCAACGAUGCGUAGCCGACCUGAGAGGGUGAUCGGCCACACUGGGACUGAGACACGGCCCAGACUCCUACGGGAGGCAGCAGUAGGGAAUCUUCCGCAAUGGACGAAAGUCUGACGGAGCAACGCCGCGUGAGUGAUGAAGGUUUUCGGAUCGUAAAACUCUGUUGUUAGGGAAGAACAAGUACCGGAGUAACUGCCGGUACCUUGACGGUACCUAACCAGAAAGCCACGGCUAACUACGUGCCAGCAGCCGCGGUAAUACGUAGGUGGCAAGCGUUGUCCGGAAUUAUUGGGCGUAAAGCGCGCGCAGGCGGUUCCUUAAGUCUGAUGUGAAAGCCCCCGGCUCAACCGGGGAGGGUCAUUGGAAACUGGGGAACUUGAGUGCAGAAGAGGAGAGUGGAAUUCCACGUGUAGCGGUGAAAUGCGUAGAGAUGUGGAGGAACACCAGUGGCGAAGGCGACUCUCUGGUCUGUAACUGACGCUGAGGCGCGAAAGCGUGGGGAGCGAACAGGAUUAGAUACCCUGGUAGUCCACGCCGUAAACGAUGAGUGCUAAGUGUUAGAGGGUUUCCGCCCUUUAGUGCUGCAGCUAACGCAUUAA